GAUGAACGCUGGCGGCGUGCCUAACACAUGCAAGUCGAGCGAUCUUCUUCGGAAGAGAGCGGCGGACGGGUGAGUAACGCGUGGGUAACCUGCCCUGUACACACGGAUAACAUACCGAAAGGUAUGCUAAUACGAGAUAAUAUACUUUUAUCGCAUGGUAGAAGUAUCAAAGCUCUGGCGGUACAGGAUGGACCCGCGUCUGAUUAGCUAGUUGGUAAGGUAACGGCUUACCAAGGCGACGAUCAGUAGCCGACCUGAGAGGGUGAUCGGCCACAUUGGAACUGAGACACCGUCCAAACUCCUACGGGAGGCAGCAGUGGGGAAUAUUGCACAAUGGGCGAAAGCCUGAUGCAGCAACGCCGCGUGAGCGAUGAAGGCCUUCGGGUCGUAAAGCUCUGUCCUCAAGGAAGAUAAUGACGGUACUUGAGGAGGAAGCCCCGGCUAACUAUGUGCCAGCCGCCGCCGAAA
rnacentral:rRNA from 1 species